CCGCGCCCUAACCUGGGAUUCCCCCGCGGGUGGGCGGCGCCUGCCGACGCGCUGGUGGUCGCCCCGCCUGCGUGCGGCCAUCCCUCGGGCAGUGGGAGCCCGCCUGCGUCCUCGGCUCCCCGCAGCCCCCCGCGCGGGCCCGACUGGCGCGGCCGCCAAACUGUCCACCCGACCGCGGCCCCGGCGAGCGGACCCCGCGCUCGCGGCCAGUUUGCCUCCCCCAAAAUGAGAAGAUUGGGGAGGCACUUCAAGGGCCGGAAGCCUGAAUCUGCCUGUGCCCCUGGCGGUAGGACGAGCACCUGGCCGGCGGGCCUGUCUCCGCGGCUACUUCCGGAGCUACUCUCCCCGAGAUGGCAGAAACUAGACCCGGGUCCCACCGCGCUCACCUCACAGGCUCCCUCUUGGCGCCCAAAACCAAGCAGAAGCCACAGUCUAUAGAGAUCCAGUAACCUGUGACAUGAGAGAGACUACUCAGCCAUAAAAAGGAACGAAGUUGGGCCAUUUGCAGAGACGUGGCUGGACCUAGAGACUGUCAUGCAGAGUGAGAAGCUCCUGUUUUCAGGAGAUGAUAACUGUCAACACACAAACUAGUUUAAAGUAGCCUGAAGAGCAAGGGACAGAAGAGAAAGGAGGGCUACCAUCUCAGCUGUUAAAGAUUUCUUCAAGAUCAGAGAGGCCCAGGCACAGACCCUUGCCUGCAACCACAACUGCCCGCUGAACCUGCAUGAUAGCUGCUGCAUCAGUGACGCCAGAACUUAGAGAAGGAGAUAGGUCCCUCAGCAGCCUGCCUCCAACCUAAAGGAUGUCUUACUGGCCUCCAAACGAGACACUGACCGUUACCUGCCAGAAAGCUGUCAAACAUAUACAUACAAAUCAUCUGCCUUUGCAGUCAACAAUUAUAAUAAAAAAUGAAAAAAACUCAAAAUAAUCAACGAUCCGUUCAAUACGAAUGGUGCCUCUACCUUGGGUGGGACGACUCUGACCCUUAGAUUCAGGUUUACUAUUAAUGUAUAUAUGCUUAAUUUUUCUGUUUACUCAAAGAAAUCUAUAACUCUACUCGGGUGGCUACAAUACUGAUUAG